CCAGACUCCUACGGGAGGCAGCAGUGGGGAAUUUUGCGCAAUGGGGGAAACCCUGACGCAGCAACGCCGCGUGCGGGACGAAGGCCCUCGGGCUGUAAACCGCUUUCAGCAGGGAAGACGUCGACGGUACCUGCAGAAGAAGCUCCGGCUAACUACGUGCCAGCAGCCGCGGUAAUACGUAGGGGGCGAGCGUUAUCCGGAUUCAUUGGGCGUAAAGCGCGCGUAGGCGGUAUGUCGAGUCAAGGGUGAAAUCCCCGCGCUCAACGUGGGAACUGCCUUUGAAACUGGCAAACUGGAGUGUGUGAGAGGAUAGUGGAAUUCCAGGUGUAGGAGUGAAAUCCGUAGAUAUCUGGAGGAACAUCAGUGGCGAAGGCGACUAUCUGGCACAUAACUGACGCUGAGGAGCGAAAGCGUGGGUAGCAAACAGGAUUAGAUACCCGAGUAU
rnacentral:rRNA from 1 species